UUUAACUACGACCUAUAGGUCU
rnacentral:tRNA from 1 species